AAGUCGUAACAAGGUUUCCGUAGGUGAACCUGCGGAAGGAUCAUUAAUGCUAAACCGUAUGUGAGCACGCUGGCAACAGUGGCUUACAAAACGGAUCCAACAAAGCUAAACGCUCGAAUUUUGGUUCUACUCAGAACAAACUUUCGACGUCACAAGUAACCUGAGGACUGUUCUUUUCUUCUGCGCGAUUGUGUGGAGAAGAGAGGAAUUGUUCCUCUACCCUUAUUUUAUACCAUAAUUACCCUGAUUAUAAACUACUUAGACUGAUAUAAAAUUCUACACAUUUAUUUUAUAAAUGUAAAAAACAACUCUUAGCAAUGGAUAUCUAGGCUCUC
rnacentral:misc_RNA from 1 species